GAUGAACGCUGGCGGCGUGCCUAAUACAUGCAAGUCGAGCGAACAGACGAGGAGCUUGCUCCUCAGACGUUAGCGGCGGACGGGUGAGUAACACGUGGAUAACCUCCCUAUAAGACUGGGAUAACUUCGGGAAACCGGAGCUAAUACCGGAUAAUAUAUUUAACCGUAUGGUCCAAUAGUGAAAGACGGUUUUGCUGUCACUUAUAGAUGUAUCCGCGCCGCAUUAGCUAGUUGGUAAGGUAACGGCUUACCAAGGCAACGAUGCGUAGCCGACCUGAGAGGGUGAUCGGCCACACUGGAACUGAGACACGGUCCCAGCUCCUACGGGAGGCAGCAGUAGGGAAUCUUCCGCAAAGGGCGAAAGCCUGACGGAGCCACGCCGCGUGAGUGAUAAAGGUCUUCGGAUCGUAAAACUCUGUUAUUAGGGAAAAACAAAUGUGUAAGUAACUAUGCACGUCUUGACGGUACCUAAUCAGAAAGCCACGGCUAACUACGUG
rnacentral:rRNA from 1 species